UACGAGGGGUCCUAGCGUUGUUCGGAAUCAUUGGGCGUAAAGGGUGUGUAGGUGGCUAUGUAAGUCAGGUGUGAAAGCCCGGGCUCAACCCGGGAAGUGCAUCUGAUACUGCGUAGCUUGAGUACCGAAGAGGAUAGUGGAAUUCCAGGUGUAGUGGUGAAAUACGUAGAUAUCUGGAGGAACACCGGUGGCGAAGGCGGCUAUCUGGUCGAGUACUGACACUGAGACACGAAAGCAUGGGGAUCAAACAGG
rnacentral:rRNA from 1 species